rnacentral:rRNA from 1 species
AUUGAACGCUGGCGGCAGGCCUAACACAUGCAAGUCGAGCGGAGCGGCGGACGGGUGCGUAAUGCCUAUGAAUCUGCCUGGUAGUGGGGGAUAACGUCCGGAAACGGGCGCUAAUACCGCAUACUAUCAGAUGAGCCUAGGUCGGAUUAGCUAGUUGGUGGGGUAAAGGCCUACCAAGGCGACGAGCCGUAACUGGUCUGAGUGGAGGAUCAGUCACACUGGAAAUGAGACAGCGUCCGGACACCUAGGGGAGGAAGCAGAGGGGAAUAUUGGACAAUGGGCAAAAGCCUGAUCCAGCCAUGCCGCGUGUGUGAAGAAGGUCUUCGGAUUGUAAAGCACUUUAAGUUGGGAGGCGUUACCAACAGAAUAAGCACCGGCUAACUUCGUGCCAGCAGCCGCGGUAAUUC